GGGUGAGGUAUUCAGGGAAUUGCGCCAGUUAUGCCUGUCGAUACGAGUCCACGCUUGUCGAUGCGUCGCUCUGCAAUAUGUCAUCGAGAAGCGCAAAAUUAGUAAAUGCUGCUUUACGCAACGAAAACUUUGUAAAGGAGCAGAUAUCUGUCCCAUCAACAAGUGCCUUUAAAAAUUCCGUACAGGCAUCAAGUGAGAAAAUUUGGUCAGUUUUUGAUUCUGAUGAUUCAUUAUUACACAAAGAUUACGAAUUACCUUUAACAUGCCAACAAAACAUCAGUAGCAAUAACAGUGACUCGGGAUCCGACUUUAUACCGUGUUCACAGAAAAUUAAACACAACAAUUUUGGAAUCACCUGAACAAUCGGACGGAGAAACAGUUCAACUGACUAAGAAAGGGAGUAUAAGGAAGCGGAAAACAUACAACGUUAGCUUAAGAGAUCGAAAGAGACUAAAGAAUGAAGAAAAAAUAUUAACUAAAUAUUUUGUAAAGGCAGGUUGCCAGGAAAACAUCUGCAAAAAAAAGUGCUCAAUUUUGAUGAAUAUUGUUUACCUUUGUUACUGGUUGUGUUAAUUUUUUUCAUUUCAGACAAAUUAUGUGCUGCAAGCCAUUUUAAAUUAUACGAAUUUAAUUAUAAUUUGUAAUUUUGACUAAAUUCCUUAAUCGAUACAAUUAAUUUAAAAUAAAAGUUUGAUUUUCUAGUAACUGCCUUGUUUUAGAAAAGUAAAUUUUUAGAAAAGUAAUAAAGUUUUAAUAUUUUA